UCUCUACCUUAUUUUUUAGAAUUUAAUUUUAUAGUGAAAAAGCUUUAAUUUUUUAAAGGGACGAGAAGACCCUAUUGAGCUUAUAAUUUUAUUAUUAUUAUAUAAAUAUUUAUAUAAUAGUGUAUAAAUUUUAGUUGGGGUGAUUAAGGAAUAAAAGGAUAUUAACUUCCUUAGAUUAAAUAUUAUUUGAUCAAGUAACCAAUAUAUUAUUGCUUUUAUUAUAGUUACCAUAGGGAUAACAGCGUAAUUUGUUUAGAGAGUUCUUAUUAAAAAAUGAGAUUGCGACCUCCAUGUUGGAUUAAAGUAACCUUAAGGUGGAGAAGCUU
rnacentral:rRNA from 1 species